rnacentral:lncRNA from 1 species
GAAACUCGUCAGUCUAUUCUUGUUCUGAGAAAUGAAGGCUAUUCCAUGCGAGAGAUUGCCAAGAAACUGAAGAUCUCAUACAACGCUGUGUACUACUCCCUUCACAGAACAGGGCAAAGUGGCUCUAACCAGAAUAGAAAGAGUGGGAGGCCCAGGUGCACAACUAACAGGAGGGCUCCAAAAUGGCAAGGAAAUGUAAAGAGGACAGAACAUGGACACAAUUCAAUUGGGAUCAAGAAGGAGGAUGGUGCUGCUUGCCCGAACUGUGACAAGCUGGAGUGGCAUAUUGCAGGGUGAUGCAUGUACCUGAGUCUACCCUAGAGAUGAAAACUGUUCCCAAAACAAAAAGUUGUUUUUCUUCAUCCAGAAAUGCUGAAGUAUCUGAAUGGUCUUUGGAGGAUGUCUUCCAGUGGCUUCAACAGAAUCAAUUGAAGGACUACACCUAUCUUUUCCAAGUUUAAAAAAAAUUGAAACACCUGUCAAAAUGCCUGCUUUGUUUAACUGCCCAAUAUGCAACAAGCGUUUCUUCUCCUUUAUAAAACAGAUUCGCCACAUUGGUCUAUAUCACCAGAGUGAGCCAGUGUUCCUGUUAACAUGUGGACUUGGAGGUCGCAUGAAAACCUGUAAAUGCUUUGCAUUUAUACAGAAAUCACAAAGAUUUGCUGAAAGAUAGGUCUAAUGGUUCUGUUAUCCCUGUGUCUGACUUCAUCGAGGAAGACGUGGACGAUGAUGAUCCUGAUCUCGCUUGGCUGCCUGCAACUAAUGUUAUUGAGUCCGUGGACUACAAAACUGAGGACCUGGUUAAAAGCCUUAAGAGAAACCUCUGCCUUCAUAUGUUGAAGAUCUGAGAGAAGCAUUGUGUUCCUGUGACUGUGCAGAACAGUUUAGUGGAGGACCUUCAUUCCAUUUUUGAUUAAUUCCUGUCCCACUACAGCGAGGAAUUUAAAUUCCACCUUCGGGAAGAUUCAUAUCAAUGUCGAUGAGGGCAAUGACUUGUGUGAGCUAAACCAGACAAAGGUUUUGAAGAGUGUAUGCGAAGCAUCACCGCAUAGUGGAUGCAGGAGCAAUACUGCUGCAAGAAAUGGGAAUAGCAAGACAGAGAGAGAUACAUCUGAGUGGUGAAGAACAGGACAGAGCCAGGACAGAGCCAAUACAUCCCACUACCUUACGUUUUGAAGGUGGCACAAAAUGGAGAUGUCUGGGCGAGCUUAAAUGGAGAAGAAGAAGAACCUGCAAACUAUUAAAUCUUGAAUGAUGUCACAGACAGGGAUUCUUUUCAAGAGGAAUCCUUUAUUCUCGCAAAAGCAAAUGGUCCGGCGUAAUUUUUAUAUACAGUUGAAGUCGGAAGUUUA